rnacentral:rRNA from 1 species
AGGACGAACGCUGGCGGCGUGCUUAACACAUGCAAGUCGAGCGGAAAGGCCCUUCGGGGUACUCGAGCGGCGAACGGGUGAGUAACACGUGAGCAAUCUGCCCUUAGCUUCGGGAUAGCUCCGGGAAACCGGAAUUAAUACCGGAUAUGACUAUGGCUGACAUCAGCCACGGUGGAAAGUUUUUCGGCUAGGGAUGAGCUCGCGGCCUAUCAGCUAGUUGGUGGGGUAACGCCUACCAAGGCGACGACGGGUA